rfam:Nematostella vectensis strain CH2 x CH6 NEMVEscaffold_322_Cont23764, whole genome shotgun sequence.
GGUCCCAUGGUGUAACUGUUAGCACUCUGUACUGUAAAUCCAGCGAUCCGUGUUCAAUCUCGGUGAGACCU